GGCAAUGUGCAGUGUGACUAAGGCUGCCUGGCUGAAGAUGUGCUGUGUCAGCAUGGGCAGCCGGGUGGAAGCCGCACCUUGUACAUAGAUUUUCACUGUAUGUUGUAGUGGUCACAUUAAAGAUAUCUUUUAUGAUAUUUCUCCAAUAGCAGUACAUGCUUUUAGUGAAACUUUAACUUUUAAAACCUGUUCUCUUUCAAGAAGCCAAUUACUUUUUAAAUGACUGCUAAAAUGUAAGUCACCUGAGUCGCUGUCCGGCUUUUAGGAUGGUUGUGAUGCAAGCUCAGACCCCACACUGGCCUCUGCACACAUGAGUCACCCCCUCCCCCCGCCCCAGCCAAGGGCGCCAUGCUGCCUGCAAUUGUGAGCAGAAUCGAGCGGGGGCAGGUUAUACUUCCCUGCGGAGCCACCAAUGGCCAAUGCCUCAGUUUCGUCUGAGAAUCUUUCUCCUUCAUAGUGAAGGGCACCUGGACCAGUUAAUUUUUUUAGUCUGAUCUUUUCUUUCGAAACCAGUGAAACUUCAUGGUAUUUUUGAGAGUCAAGAAUCCUGCCAUCUAAUGCUUCCCACAUACCACACUUUGUUUCCCUUUGGAAGAGAGAGGUUCUAAGUGUUCAGUGGGCGUUGGUUUGGUCAGCUAUUGGGACAUCCACUUAUAUACUAGGUGGCCUGCAACUGACCUCACAGACCUUCCUCCCAUGGGCCAUGCUCAUGCAGGUGUGUGCUCCUAAACCCAGUGCAUUGCUCACUUCCCCCUAAUAAUGCCCAUCUCCAUCGGCCCUUGGCCAGGUGUGAGUCUCAUUGGAAAACUCUUCCAUUGAUAAUAGAUAAACACUACUCAGUAGCUGAGGCUCUUAGAGAUGAACUCUGGAUAGGGAGAAAAAUGAAUGGAAAAUAGCACAGAAUAAUUAGAUGCACAAAGUAAUGGAGAACAUUGUUAGUGGUCCUUAAACUUAGCAAAUAGCACUCAAUUUGACGUUUAAAACUCUAGAAAUGAUCUCUAAAGGUGACUUAAAAUACAGUGAAGUGAAAAUAUGGCUGUGUCUGUAAUAAUGGUGGUUAUCAUACAAUAUGCAAGUCAAGUGACUGUAAUUGUAAGACAUGUAACUUGUUGAGGCUCAUACAGGCCUAAAAUCAGGGAUCUUAGAACUAAAGGAGUCGAAACUGAGCGUGGACCUGUGAUCCCAGCACUUCAGAGACCGAGACGUGUUACACUGUGAGACUCUGUCUCAAAACAACAGAAAACUGGGGGAGUUGCCAUCAUUCACACUGACAUGUUUGUUCCGGAUGUGGAAGCUGUGGGUGCCUGAAGUCUCAACAUCCAACAUGUUGGUGCUACCUAGCCAAGCUUCUUUUGGUCUCCUUAAAGCAAUAUGCUUUAACAAGUAGUGGAGAAGUGCAGGCACAGUGUCAGGAGGGUUCCCACAGCAGUGGGUGUCCACUGCUUCUCUAGUUCCUGCCCUAAGGAAUAUGCCACCUGUCACUGAGGACAGUGCCUGUCAGCAGAGCCUGAAUCAGGUGCGCUCUUCAUCAUCCAAAUGGAAAGAGAAGACAUUUGUCAAGAUGGAUAGAGUAAGGCUAUGAUUUACAGGCUUCUGGAAACAAUUCUUUUGUAAAGGUCUCUCUGGCUCACUCUGUAACGAACUGUAUCCCGCUGGUAAACAAAAUCACGAUCCUUGUUUUGGGGCUUCAGGAGUUGUGGGGACAGUCAGGGUAGUGUGCAGGUUGAUUGCCCUUCAUCAUCUGCAUCUGUUCGCAGGGAGCAGCAUGUGAGUUACCUUAGGUACAAAUCCCCAUGGGUUUGCCACGAGUGUGUGUGUGUGUGUCUGUCUGUCUGUCUGUCUGUCUAUAUGGGUCUGUGUAAUCCAGGACAGCGCAGGAACAACAGGCAAUAGGCAAAUCUUCAUUGAGGACCCAGGAAAAUGGAGACCUAGGUGGGAAUUCACAAAAAAAUGGCAAACAUCUAUUGGGUCCUGUAGAAACAAAAAAGUCACAUUGUGUGUGUGAAUGAAGCCAAGAUAAGGGUGAUGGUUUUGCCCACAGAGUAAACACAGGAACAUCUCUGAACAUACUAAGCAUAUGCUGCCACUUCUCCACGCUGAGUAAAUUGAUCUUCCACAAAAGUUUAUCCUUUGUAGACAUGGCGGGUCUGGAUUUUUUUUUUUUUUUGGUUGUUGGAUUGAUUGAUUGAUUGAUUGAUUGAUUGACUGCUUUUACUAGCCAUGGCUUCUGGAUAAUGGGAAAGAAGUCAUAGAGACUUGACUGCUUACCUCUGGCACCUCAGGGCCCUGUGACCCCGGAGCCAGACUGUGGGGAGGGAUGCAGUCUUAGGCUGGAAGUUUAAGGUAGAAUAAGGAGGUUGUCCUUGUCACUCAAAUAGAGUUGGGGCCCUGUAGCUUAGCUUGUCUUUGCUACUUUAUGAAUCCUUUCUUCCACCCGUCUUCACCCUUUUUCUUUCAGCCACCUAACACUAGAUAAGAGAGAGAGAAAAAAAAUAGAGAGGAAAGGAAAGAGAUCCCUGAAUAAAGUCAGGAUGGAAAGGCGUGUCAUUAUUAUUGUUAGACUACUUCCUGCUGAUUAGGGGAUUGAGUUCCUUGGGGCAAGUUUGAUCUUUGCCAGCAGGAUAUCUGAUUACUUCUUGUUUCUUUUUUUGUGCACGAGAGUAUUUAACAAACUACAAUCAACAACAGGCAACAACGAACAACAUUCAACCAGCAACCCACCAACAACCACCCGCCUCCCAGACCACUAGCAUUUAUAUACCCUUUGAAAAGUCCCCAGAAUUCCAAACGUCACACAACCACAGAAACUAUCUGCAGCUGGCAGAAUCAUGCCCCUACCAGAGCACGAGGCAAAUCACAGCCAGUUGCUGUGGACAAUCUGAAGCAGCCCCAUAUCUCACACCCAGGAUUAAAAUAAAAACAUAUUCUUAUGCUAUUUCUUUUUUCUUUUUUUUUUAAAGAAACCAAAAUUCCAGAAUUGUCACUACAUUUUUCCCUCUGUUUUAAGCCAUUAAUUAUGCUGGGUGUAGUGGAAAACUAUAAUAGAGAUAUUUUUUAAUGAAAUAAGCACUUUUUGGAUCGGUGACCAAGGUUUUCCGGAGACUCUCCUACUUUAAUCUUUAUAAGUUUUGAUAGUAUCUUUUCCCAUGGAAAUAUAAGCACCCAUGUCCCCAAUGCAAAACUGUUACUGGCUUCCAUUCUGAUGUUAAUACAUCUUAUAGUAUAUAGGUGGAUUUAAUUCCACAGUUCUUUUCUAUAACCCAGUGUCUUCUGGCUGCUGUUGUUCUAGACAGCCUGAACUAAUUACUGUGGGGCCUUGAGCUGUGCCCCACCCCCACCCCAAAACACAUACACACAGACGCAUUUUGUUUACUGAUGGCAAGAAAUUGCCUUAGUUAUCUCCUUUUGAAUCUACAAUCCUAAAACCAAUGGCAGCCUUUGCCACAUCCCAUACACACCCUGGGAAGCUUUAGCGGUUUGUAUAUGCUCAGCCCAGUGGCACUGUUGGGAGGUGUGGCCUUGUUGGAGUAGGUGUAACCUUGUGGGGUGGGCUUUAAUGCCCUUGUCCUGGCUGCCUGGCAAUCUGUCUUCCACUAGGAGUCUUCAGAUGAAGAUGUAGAACUCUCAGCCCCUCUUGCACCAUGCCUACCUGGAUGCUACCAUGUUCCUGCCUUGACAAUAAUGGACUGAACCUCUGAACCUGUAAGCCAGCCCCAAUUAAAUGCUGUCCUUAUUAG
rnacentral:lncRNA from 1 species